rnacentral:rRNA from 1 species
GAUGAACGCUGGCGGCGUGCUUAGCACAUGCAAGUCGAACGAAGCAUUUAGAACGGAUUACUUCGGUUUGAAGUUCUUUAUGACUGAGUGGCGGACGGGCGAGUAACGCGUGUGUAACCUGCCUUGUACUGGGGGAUAGCAGCUGGAAACGGCUGGUAAUACCGCAGAAACGCACAAUGUUGAAUGACAUGGUGUGAAAAACUCCGGUGGGAUAAGAUGGACCCACGUCUGAUUAGCUAGUGGGUGAGAUAACAGCCCACCAAGGCGACGAUCAGUAGCCGACCUGGGAGGGUGACCGGCCACAUUGGGACUGAGACACGGCCCAGACUCCUACGGGAGGCAGCAGUGGGGAAUAUUGCACAAUGGAGGAAACUCUGAUGCAGCGACGCCGCGUGAGUGAAGAAGUAAUUCGUUAUGUAAAGCUCUAUCAGCAGGGAAGAUAGUGACGGUACCUGACUAAGAAGCUCCGGCUAAAUACGUGCCAGCAGCCGCCGUAA